rnacentral:rRNA from 1 species
AACGAACGCUGGCGGCAGGCCUAACACAUGCAAGUCGAGCGAGGACUUCGGUUCUAGCGGCGGACGGGUGAGUAACGCGUGGGAAUGUGCCCUUCUCUACGGAAUAGCCCUGGGAAACUGGGAGUAAUACCGUAUACGCCCUUUUGGGGAAAGAUUUAUCGGAGAAGGAUCAGCCCGCGUUGGAUUAGGUAGUUGGUGGGGUAAUGGCCUACCAAGCCGACGAUCCAUAGCUGGUUUGAGAGGAUGAUCAGCCACACUGGGACUGAGACACGGCACAGACUCCUACGGGAGGCAGCAGUGGGGAAUCUUAGACAAUGGGGGCAACCCUGAUCUAGCCAUGCCGCGUGAGUGAUGAAGGCCUUAGGGUUGUAAAGCUCUUUCAGCUGGGAAGAUAAUGACGGUACCAGCAGAAGAAGCCCCGGCUAACUCCGUG